UGAGCAAUCUGCCCUUCACUUCGGGAUAACUCCGGGAAACCGGUGCUAAUACCGAAUACGACCACUUCAGGCAUCUGAUGGUGGUGGAAAGUUCCGGCGGUGAAGGAUGAGCUCGCGGCCUAUCAGCUUGUUGGUGGGGUAACGGCCCACCAAGGCAACGACGGGUAGCCGGCCUGAGAGGGUGACCGGCCACACUGGGACUGAGACACGGUCCAGACUCCUACGGGAG
rnacentral:rRNA from 1 species